rnacentral:lncRNA from 1 species
GGCUGCUGGCCCUCUGCAGACACCAGAGACCUUAGAGGUGGCUGAGAUCCCAUCUCUCAGGACUUGCCCUGUGGCUUUCUCUCAGCUGCAGCCACACAGGAUGCUCCUUUGGGUUUCAUCAGUUACAAGUGACAGAAGCUCACUUCAGGCUGGCUCAAGGGGGGCACAGUCCUAGCUCACACACAGGGUGUGCAGAGGUAGCUGCAGCGUUGGGCCCUCAGCCCUGCCUUACUCUCUGUCUCUCAACUCUGCUCUCUGCUCUGUUGGCUCAUUUUCAAGUCACAUGAUAACCUCCCCAGAGCUCUAAGCUCAACCCCAUUGCAAGGAAAGAGUCCUCUUUCCCCUUGAAGUCCCAAACAUGACACUCAAGGCUCAGCUUGGGCCACAGGCUCAUGCCUGCACCUGUCACAUUGGCCAAGGGAAUUGUGGUCAUGUGCCAUCCCCAGCAACCCUGCCCAAACAAUGGGGUGUUAUGGACUCUGCUGUCAUAGGAGGAGAUUCUGGGUAUCAGACAAUGGACAGAAGCCCACCGUCCCUCCCCGAGUCCACCCGGGAUAUACUCAGACCUCUGGGUUCAGGACAGUCUUCAUUUUCUUAUCACUGAACGAUGCUUCUGGGUCAUACAACACGGAGGAAGUGCUGUUCCCAUGUGUAACCUUUACUCUCUCUCAUUUUCCAGGGACCCCUGGGUCUGGAUGGCAAGCCCGUAAGUGACAAGGCAACUCUAGGUGAUCCUGGGACAAGGCUGCCCCUGCAGAGUUGGGAGUGACCAUGGGGCAUCUGAGGGAAGGGGCCACUGGAAACCUGGUUCAGCCAAAGAGAAGCCACUGGGUG